AGCGCGGGGGCAACCCUGGCGGCGAGCGGCGAACGGGUGAGUAAUGCAUCGGAACGUGUCCUCUUGUGGGGGAUAACCAGUCGAAAGACUGGCUAAUACCGCAUACGCUCUACGGAGGAAAGCGGGGGUCGCAAGACCUCGCACUAUAGGAGUGGCCGAUAUCGGAUUAGCUAGUUGGCGGGGUAAAAGCCCACCAAGGCAACGAUCCGUAGCUGGUCUGAGAGGAUGAUCAGCCACACUGGAACUGAGACACGGUCCAGACUCCUACGGGAGGCAGCAGUGGGGAAUUUUGGACAAUGGGCGCAAGCCUGAUCCAGCCAUGCCGCGUGAGUGAAGAAGGCCUUCGGGUUGUAAAGCUCUUUCGGCAGGAACGAAAUGGUUCGUGCUAAUACCACGGAUCGAUGACGGUACCUGAAGAAGAAGCACCGGCUAACUACGUGCCAGCAGCCGCGGUAAUACGUAGGGUGCAGGCGUUAAUCGGAAUUACUGGGCGUAAAGCGUGCGCAGGCGGUUUCUUAAGUCAGAUGUGAAAGCCCCGGGCUUAACCUGGGAACUGCGUUUGAAACUGGGAGACUAGAGUGUGGCAGAGGGGGGUGGAAUUCCACGUGUAGCAGUGAAAUGCGUAGAUAUGUGGAGGAACACCGAUGG
rnacentral:rRNA from 1 species